rnacentral:rRNA from 1 species
AAAUAUACAUUUGUAUGUUGGUAGGAGAGCGUUGUGUAAGGGGUGAAGUCGUAGCGAAAGCGGCGGUGGACUUUACACAAGUGAGAAUGCCGGAAUGAGUAGCGAGAAUUAUGUGAGAAUCAUAAUGGCCGAAAGACUAAGGUUUUAGAAGGAAGGUUCGUCCGCUUCUAGUUAGCCGGGAGCUAAGGCGAGGCCGAGAGGCGUAGUCGAUGCACAUACGGUUGAGAUUCCGUAGCUACCUUGCAUUUAAGCGAAGGGACACAUUUGAAGGGCAUGACCCGGGCGUUGGUUGACCCGGGCGUAAGGGACCGAAGAUAAGUAGGGAAGCAUGCUUGGAUGGUGGCGAGAAAAGCUUCGUGUAUAUAAGCAGGGUACCCGUACUGCAAACCGACACAGGUAGUCAGGAAGAGGAUUCUAAGGCCAUCGGGAGAAGCGUUGUUAAGGAACUCGGCAAAUUGACCCCGUAACUUCGGAAUAAGGGGUGCUCACGCGAGUGAGCCGCAGUGAAUAGGUCCAGGCAACUGUUUAUCAAAAACACAGCUCUCUGCUAAAUCGUAAGAUGACGUAUAGGGGGUGACACCUGCCCGGUGCUGGAAGGUUAAGAGGAGGGGUGCAAGCUCCGAAUUGAAGCCCCAGUAAACGGCGGCCGUAACAAUAACGGUCCUAAGGUAGCGAAAUUCCUUGUCGGGUAAGUUCCGACCCGCACGAAUGGUGUAAUGAUCUGGACACUGUCUCAACAACGCACCCGGCGAAAUUGUAGUACCGGUGAAGAUGCCGGUUACCCGCGGCAAGACGGAAAGACCCCAUGGAGCUUCACUGUAGCCUGAUAUUGGGUCUCGGUAUUUUAUGUACGGGAUAGGCGGGAGACUUGGAAACCAGCACGCCAGUGUUGGCGGAGUCACCCUUGGGAUACCGCUCUUAAAGUAUUGAGAUUCUAACCUGCAGCCAUGAAUCUGGCUGGGGGACAUUGUCAGGUGGGCAGUUUGACUGGGGCGGUCGCCUCCAAAAGAGUAACGGAGGCGUUCAAAGGUUCACUCAGCAUGGACGGAAACCAUGCCUUAGAGUGCAAACGCAUAAGUGAGCCUAACUGCGAGACUGACGGGUCGAGCAGUAACGAAAGUUGGAGUUAGUGAUCCGGCGGUAUGUGAGUGGAAAUGCCGUCGCUCAACGGAUAAAAGCUACCCUGGGGAUAACAGGCUGAUCUCCCCCAAGAGUCCACAUCGACGGGGAGGUUUGGCACCUCGAUGUCGGCUCAUCACAUCCUGGGGCUGAAUUCGGUCCCAAGGGUUCGGCUGUUCGCCGAUUAAAGUGGUACGCGAGCUGGGUUCAGAACGUCGUGAGACAGUUCGGUCCCUAUCUGUCGUGGGCGUAGGAUAUUUGAAGGGCGCUGUUCCUAGUACGAGAGGACCGGAAUGGACGCACCGCUGGUGUAUCGGUUGUCAUGCCAAUGGCACGGCCGAACAGCUAUGUGCGGAUGGGAUAAACGCUGAAAGCAUCUAAGCGUGAAGCCCUCCCUAAGAUAAGAUAUCCCACUGUUUACAGUUAAGACCCCUUAUGGACUAUGAGGUUGAUAGGCUGCGUGUGUAAGUAUGGUGACAUAUUUAGCUAGGCAGUACUAAUAGGUCGAGGGCUUGACU